AGGCGGAACCUGUUCUUUUGUGUCACGUGACGUGCUGGCGGUUGGUGGUCGCAGUGUAUGCGCUGGAUUCGCGAUCAUGGAGGAUAGUGGAAGCUCGCGUCCAAUGGCAAACCUCGAUCACCCGCCUAACAGUCGGCUCUUUCUGGUCAUCAGCAAAUCGACAUCGGAGGAGGUGAUCCGAGAAAACUUUUCUUUCUUCGGUGAGAUCCAGGACAUUUGGGUUGUGCGGGACAAACAGAACAAAGAUCACAAGGGCAUCGCGUACGUAAAGUUCGCCAAAUCGUCGCAGGCCUGUAGAGCGAUGGAGGAGAUGCACGGCAAGGCCUUGACGGAAGACACCAAACCCAUCAAGGUCUUCAUUGCACAGUCUAGAGGAUCUGGCAGCCACCGUGAUGUUGAAGAUGAAGAGUUGACGAGAAUUUUUGUCAUGAUUCCAAAAUCCUAUACAGAAGAUGAUCUGAGGGAAAACUUUAAGGAAUUUGGAGAUAUUGAAUAUUGUAGUGUUAUCAAGAACAAGGGCACAGGAGAGAGCAAAGGCUUUGGCUAUGUGAGGUUUCUGAAACCAUCUCAGGCUGCUCAGGCCAUUGAAAACUGCGAACGAUCUUUUAAGGCAAUUCUUGCUGAACCAAGAAACAAACCUGCAUACUCUGAGAAUGAUUACAUGAGUGGAACUAGACAAGAUCCUUUGCCUUAUGGAUCAGGAUAUGAUCCUCCCCGAGGUCAAACUGUGUUUCCGUUGGGUGAAUUCACCAACUUUGGAACAAGUGAAAUGAGAGGUGGUGAAAUGAGAGCUGAAAUUAGAAAUGAAAUGAGAGGUGGAGAAAAUAUAUCUGCAUGUCUUUCAGUAUCUACUAGAGGAAUGCUCUCUCAUGAACAAGUUUAUAGUCUGUUUGAUAUUAUCCCAGGACUGGAAUAUUGUGAAAUUCAGCGAGAUCCCUUUAUGGGUUAUGGCAAAGGUUAUGCUGUUGUUCGGUACAACAAUGUGGCAUCAGCAGUAUAUGCCAAAGAAAAGCUUCAUGGAUUUGAGUAUCCACCUGGUAAUCGACUUGGAGUAAGUUACAUUGAAAGUGAUUCUGGUGAUAGACGACCAAACCCAGUUGGAAUGAUGGCCUUACAACUUGUGGCGGCUCAGAUGAUGACACUGGCCUGUAAUAGUCCUGUUGGUCAACAGAUAAUUCCAGCUUCACCAGGAUAUGGAGGAAGCAGUAAUACGCAGAUGUCACGGUUGCAGGUUGACUUUUCUUUGCCUGCACCUCAAAACUUUGCUGCCUCUGAUAGUACUGUCAGAGAGAGACUGUUUGUGGUCUUCAACCCAACUGUCCUGCCCCUUGACAUAUUGGAGGACCUAUUUUGUCGUUUUGGAAAUCUGAUUGAAGUAUAUUUGGUACCAGGACGUAACAUUGGCUAUGUUAAAUAUGCUGAAAGACACAGUGCUACUAAUGCCAUGGAAACUUUACAUGGAAAGGUUGUUAAUGGCAUCAAGCUCAAAGUAAUGCUUGCUGAUCCUCCAAGAGAAGAGUCACAUAAGCGACAACGAACACACUAAGAUGUUUCACAAUAGAUUGUGCAAAGAAUGGCAGGAAGGCAGACGAAAGCCUCAAUGAAGAAGUUAGUCUGCUGACUAUGAUGGAUAUCAAAAAGACAAGAAUGAACAAUAAUGAGCACAUCCAAGUACUCCGUCAGCAUGCCUGUUUAGAGCUUUGGGAUUACAUUACAAUCACUAAAUUAGAAGAAAAGAAAGGAUCUGGGAUCUUGACAGCAGAAGCCAAAAGGAAAGUUUCAAAAUCUUCCCCUCCCCCGACCGCAUCCCAAAACCAGUCCUGCUCGUCCCUGCCUCUCGAACCUGAUCUUCCUCUCACCUAUCCCCUCCUCCCACCUCAAGCCAUACCCCCAUUUCCUCCCGACUAACCACAUCCUGCCCCCUUGCCCUCUCCCUCCUCCCUGGACUGACCUAUCUCCUCCCUGCCUCCCCACCUGCGCUCACCUUUACUGGCUCCAUCCCCGCCUCUUUGAAUUGUCUUGUCUCCUCUCCACUUAUCUUCUCCUCUGUCCGUCUUCGAUCCACCUUCCCCUCUCUCCCUGUUUAUUUCAGAACUCUCUCCCCACCCCCCAUUUGUGACGAAGGGUCUAGGCCUGAAAUGUCAGCCUUCCUGCUCCUAUGAUUCUGCUUGGCCUGCUGUGUUCAUCCAGCUCUACACCUUGUUAUCUUGGAAGGUAAUGUAUUCGUGAUGUUUGUACUAAAAUCUGACUUUUUUUAUUGAUCCUUAUUGAUGUCUUUUGCUACAGCACCUAAGUCCUGGUUCAGAUUUUCACCUCGUAUUGAAGGUAUGAUUUGGGUUGCAAAACUUUGAACUAAAGUUGUUUUCCCGGCAAAGAAAAAUUUUCCUCUGUCUUCCUAAUCUACACCAUUUUCAUGUGGCCUUUUAAAUGGUCAGGAGGCCUUGGGUACAGAAUGCAUAUGUACUUCUUCAGUGGUUGGAAACACACAGAAUUAGUAGGAUCACAGGAACGUUGUACUUCCUCCCAAACACUGUCUGUGUGCUGGCAUGUGUUUUGUAAACAGCAUGUUUGCCUUGAUCAUGAUUGUGGUUUAUUUUUUGUCGCAGUAAUUUAAAAAUAAUUCCCAUUACUACAGUUUAGCAAAAACUGUACAUGGUACAUACUGGAUGAGUGGUCAUGUAUGAUACAGCUGCUUGGCAUCAGGUGGCUCAUUGAUGUUUUAUGGGGAUCAGAUGAUGCAUGCGGUGUGAGGGGACAAUGGUUUAUGUGAGCAAUUUAAAAGGAUUGGGGUGGUAAAGCAAGUGGAGGUGGCAUGACAAUCUGAAAUGGCAUGGGAGUGUAUUGUGGGGUGAGGGAUCUGUUUUUGGGGGCUUUAAACAAUGUUGGGAGUUGGUCUGUCCUAUUGGGUACUAAGAUAGGUAUUCUAAUUGCUCCAACUCCAUGCCCACACUUCAAACAUUCUCCUUUGCAGCUUGCAAAUUGCACUGAAAACUCAAUCCCUUUAGGAAAAGUCAAAAUCCUGGACCAAGUCAUUGUGCUUAAGUUUUGUUCAUGCAUCUUUAAUGCAAUAAAGCAUAUUGAGCUGCUGAAUCAACAUGCUGCUUGACUGGGGACCACUAUAGGUCUGUGAGCACAGUUUGAUAGGGAAAUGAGACUUACUAAGAGUUAACAGAUGUGUGGUUGAGUUUUGGAUGAUCUCGGGUUUAUAACAGAUAGAAUGUGGGAGACCAGCCAGGAGAACAUUGGAGUCGUUGGAGGUUGAGCUAACAAAGGCAUGGAGGAGGUUUCGGCAACAGAUGAUUUGAGACAGGGGUAAAGUCAAGCAAUAUAAUAUAGACAAAAAUAGGUGGUCUUAAUGAUGGCACAGAAAGGAAGAUGGAAUCUCAUCUUGGGAUAAUGUGACAUCAAGGUUGCAAACCAACUAGGUUAAUCUCAGACUGUUGUCAGGAAGCAGGAUGUAAUUGAUAGAGAAUGGAAUUUAGAUUGGGGAUGAAAACAAUAGCUUCAGUCUUCCCAGCAUUAAAUUGAGGAAAUUUUUGUUUAUCUAAUACUACUUCUUGGAUAAGUAGUCUGAUAAUUUAGCGAUGAUGGAGAAAUUGAGAGGUUGUAGAGCACCAGAUGUGCAUGUGAAACCAACCCUGUAACUUUGCAUGAUGUCACCAAGGGACAACAUGUGGAAUGGAAAGAGGAAGAGGAAAAAGAUUGAUCCUUGGGGUUCACCAGAGACAAUGCAGCAGGAGAAGGAAGAGAAUUGAAAGAAAUCCCAAUGGCCAGAUGACAGUAGAAAAACAUUGAAAGAGGAUGAGGAGGCAAAAUUUACUUAGUCACAAUCACAUAGAUGUGAUUUGUUUACUUUGAUACGAUCAUUAAUAGUUAUUACCAUAGAAGUAAAUGCAUUCAUGAUCUUCCAUUUCUAAACAAUUUGAUUUUACUGUUUAAGUUCAGUAAAAGGGAUAUCUAUUAAAACAAAUGACACUAACAUUCUGUCUUUACUCACUGGUGUCAUGUUCUGCAUAUUAAAUGUUGAUAUAAAGGUGUUGAUUCCCUUUCCUUGUUGAUUUACAGGAUUUAAUUGAAAACUAGGCCAACUUAAAAUAAGGUGGCUGAUACAACUGCAGAUGUAAAAUAAAUGAUGUAGAGAGGAAGAGCACUCCGUGGAAUUCUACCCUUUAAAGACACAAAGGGAACUUCAAACAACAGCCCUUCAAAGGUUUAAAGAGUUCUAGAAGACAGCUAACUCGAAGCCAGACUAGAGGAAAACAGGACAAUGCACAGAUUCUCUCCCAUUCUGAAAAUCAUUGGUCAAAAGGGAUCAGAACUACAGAAUCUCAACCAGUCGCAAAAACUAAGGACUGUGAGGCUGACUUUUCAACCACUAAUGUCAAUGUUACUGCUAAUCUCAAUUACUACUGCUGCAAUGUUCAACCAUCUAAUCUGUUUUUUUAAAAUAUUUAUCUUUAUGGACUCCCCUCUUAUUUCUAAUAGGUGUGUAUGUAUUGCAUUUCUAGUUCUUCAUACAUGUAGCAAUUAAUAAAUUCACUUUUUUGUAAAUUCAAGAAAACCUGAAUAAAUUAGCUUCUUGUAAAACAUAAGUUAAUAUGGUUUAGGAGAAAGGCAUUCACAAGGGAAGAAAUCAUUUUAUCAUAAAUUUGUUGCAACUAACAGGAAGUAGCCAGAAGGGGAGCCAGUUCAUCUCUAGUCUGCCAGGAGCUUAACAAUUCCUGCCUGGUAUCAUAUGAACUGGAGAAACUUUCUCUCUUGUGCAUUAUCAGAGGAAACCACAAAGGAUAAUCAUAUCUGUCAUGGGGAAAACCAAUAAUAAAUCUUGCACUUCCACUCCCCCUCCCAUUCUCUAGAUGACAUGUCCAUCAUGGGCCUCCUGCACUGCCACAAUGAUGCCACCCGAAGGUUGCAGGAACAGCAACUCAUAUAUUCCGCCUGGGAACCCUGCAGCCUAAUGGUAUCAAUGUGGACUUCACCAGUUUCAAAAUCUCCCCUUCCCCUACUGCAUCCCUAAACCAGCCCAGUUCGUCCCCUCCCCCCACUGCACCACACAA